rnacentral:rRNA from 1 species
GACGAACCGAGCGACCGUUGUUCGGAAUCACUGGGCUUAAAGGGCGCGUAGGCGGGUGCUCAAGUCCGUGGUGAAAUCCUCCGGCUCAACCGGAGAACUGCCUCGGAUACUGGGUGCCUCGAGGGUGGUAGGGGUAUGCGGAACUAUCGGUGGAGCGGUGAAAUGCGUUGAUAUCGAUAGGAACUCCGGUGGCGAAGGCGGCAUACUGGACCACCUCUGACGCUGAGGCGCGAAAGCCAGGGGAGCAAACGGG